rnacentral:rRNA from 1 species
GGUCCCAGUUCGGAUUGUAGGCUGCAACUCGCCUACAUGAAGUCGGAGUUGCUAGUAAUCGCGGAUCAGAAUGCCGCGGUGAAUGCGUUCCCGGGUCUUGUACACACCGCCCGUCACACCAUGGAAGUUGGGGCGCCCGAAGUUGGUCGAGGAAUAGAUUACCUAAGGCGAAACCAAUGACUGGGGUGAAGUCGUAACAAGGUAUC